rnacentral:piRNA from 1 species
UGCCAUUGCUCUGAUACACAGACCACCUA